UGCAGCACAUUGCGAACCUUGCUGGGAACAAAACUCUAGUUUUGCCUGUGCCUGCAUUUAACGUCAUCAAUGGAGGAUCACAUGGUUUCACUGUCAACCUGAAUUUUACGAACCUUGUUGGGAACAGAACUCGGACAUGUUUCCAAGGGUGUAAAACCCAAAGGCAGGGGAGCUUCGAAGAAGGCUCCUGCUAGAAAGCAGAAAAUGCCAACUGCCGUUGAUAGUGAAGAGGAAGAUAAUAAGGAGCUUGAGCUGAAAGAACAACUGUCAG